UGGGGAAUAUUGGACAAUGGGCGCAAGCCUGAUCCAGCCAUGCCGCGUGAGUGAUGAAGGCCCUAGGGUUGUAAAGCUCUUUCACCGGUGAAGAUAAUGACGGUAACCGGAGAAGAAGCCCCGGCUAACUUCGUGCCAGCAGCCGCGGUAAUACGAAGGGGGCUAGCGUUGUUCGGAUUUACUGGGCGUAAAGCGCACGUCGGCGGACUUUUAAGUCUGGGGUGAAAUCCCGGGGCUCAACCCCGGAACUGCCUUUGAUACUGGAAGGCUAGAGUAUGGUAGAGGUGAGUGGAAUUCCGGGUGUAGAGGUGAAAUGCGUAGAUAUUCGGAGGAACACCAGUGGCGAAGGCGGCUCGCUGGACCAUUACUGACGCUGAGGUGCGAAAGCGUGGGGAGCAAACAGG
rnacentral:rRNA from 1 species